AUUGAACGCUGGCGGCAGGCCUAACACAUGCAAGUCGCGCGGUAACAGGGAUAGCUUGCUAUCUGCUGACGAGCGGCGGACGGGUGCGUAACGCGUAGGAAUUUGCCCGGUAGUGGGGGAUAGCCCGGAGAAAUUCGGAUUAAUACCGCAUACCUUCUACGGAAGAAAGCAGGGGAUCUUCGGACCUUGCGCUAUCGGAUGAGCCUGCGUUGGAUUAGCUAGUUGGUGGGGUAAAUGCCUACCAAGGCGACGAUCUGUAGCUGGUCUGAGAGGAUGGUCAGCCACACUGGGACUGAGACACGGCCCAGACUCCUACGGGAGGCAGCAGUGGGGAAUAUUGCACAAUGGCGCAAGCCUGAUGCAGCCAUGCCGUGUGUGUGAAGAAGGCCCUAGGGUUGUAAAAGCACUUCUAGCGAGGAGGAAGGGUAGUUUGCUAUAUCAAGCUGCAUUGACGUUACUCGCAGAAGAAGCA
rnacentral:rRNA from 1 species